GCUCGGACUAUUCAAAUUGCUGCCCCACCCUGUGUAAGAUCCUCCAAAAAUGACUACUUUUGAAGGAUUAAACACGCAUCCGGCAAUAUUUUUGAAGAGUCUGAGCAA